GACGAACGCUGGCGGCGUGCUUAACACAUGCAAGUCGAACGGAAAGGCCCUGCUUUUGUGGGGUGCUCGAGUGGCGAACGGGUGAGUAACACGUGAGUAACCUGCCCUUGACUUUGGGAUAACUUCAGGAAACUGGGGCUAAUACCGGAUAGGAGAUCCUGCUGCAUGGUGGGGGUUGGAAAGUUUCGGCGGUUGGGGAUGGACUGGCGGCUUAUCAGCUUGUUGGUGGGGUAGUGGCUUACCAAGGCUUUGACGGGUAGCCGGCCUGAGAGGGUGACCGGCGACAUUGGGACUGAGAGACGGCCCAGACUCCUACGGGAGGCAGCAGUGGGGAAUAUUGCACAAUGAGCGGAAGCCUGAUGCAGCAGCGCCGCGUGCGGGAUGACGGCCUUCGGGUUGUAAACCGCUUUCGCCUGUGACGAAGCGUGAGUGACGGUAAUGGGUAAAGAAGCACCGGCUAACUACGUG
rnacentral:rRNA from 1 species